rnacentral:pre_miRNA from 1 species
AUCACCUGGGAGCCUUGUUAAAAUGCAGAUUUGAUUCCCAGGGUCUGCGGAGGGGCCUGAGAUUCUGCAUUUCCAACAAGCUCCCAGGUGAUGCCAA